GCCAAGGAGGAGGGAGCUCUCAGCCACAUUACAAAGGAGAGGCCUGAGGAAGGAGCUGCAUCUGAUACUGCAGAGAGGGAAAGGAUCCCUGUUGCAGGCCACAGACCUAGGAAGGAAGAAUGCAUCAAAGAAGUGAACCAAUGACUCCAGUGGGGGUGCUGCUGAGAGGGCUUUGGUUUUUUUGACCACAGUGCACGCUUCAGAAAAAGGACUCCUGGAAAGGGACAGCAUCCACCUCAUGUGGAGGGGGACAUGCACAUCUAGCUGCUUCUGUCUCAGAAACAUGCCAGGCUGAGGUGGCAAUGAGUUGCUCACCCCACUCUACCUCAGUGAACCCACCCCCGCAGUCUAUUGGCAAUGCUGCUCUUCCUGGCAGGUAGCAAACAUGCACUAUGCCAGAAAAAGAAAUUCAAAAGAAACACUUCACUGGAGACUGCCAGAUGAUAACAAGAGUACACUGAGGUUCAACUACACUUUACCAUGUGAACAUGCUUGGGAUUGAGGAGGGUUAAUAUGAUACACAAAGACUUUCCUUUGACACACCUACACACCAGUGUGAGAGUGCUCCACCACCACACUCCUCUAUUCUGUAGUCUUCUUUUUUUCUGUCAACUUCUUGUGUAACAGUGAGGGAUGGUAGGGACUGAUUAGUUACUGAAGAACUCACUCAAGAAUGAGAAAAAUGAGAGAAAGAAGUAUCUACUGCCUAUACAAGAAGACCAGAGAUAUGAUAGAGCUUGUUUGCAUCACACAAACCAGAAAAUGUGGAAGUGAAAGUGUAUGAGAAAUGAGAAAGAACAAGUCAUAGAUAAUACAAACCAGAGUGGCCAAUCUGUGGCACUGGCUGAACACCACUUUUUGGAUUGGAUCACAUCCAAGGAGCCUCUGAAGACUUUAAAAAAAUCCCCCUUCCUCACCUUCUUGCUCUGAGGCAUGCCCUCUCCCCUACCAACUGUUCAGAGGCACAUCCUCUCCUCUCCCCUUUCCCCCAUCUCCCACCUGCUGCUACUGCUUUCCCUGCUGUCCCAGAGCUGGGAAAGCUUCAAAUCUGGUGUGACAGUUUAGUCAGGACAUAGGCAGCCCAGUCUGAUGGUAGGCCCUGAAGGGGAACAAGGAGGUCAGCUAGGUUGGAGUAUUGGUGACCAGGGUAUCAGGUCAGGGUCGGAAUCAGAGGAGCAGGGAAUGUGGGACAAGGCUCCAGGACAUCCAAGAGGGAGAUCUGAGAGACAUAGUCAUCCAAGGGGAAAGGCAAGGUCAGAAGCCAGGAGAGUCAGAGCUAGGUGCUGAGUUCUAGGGAAGAUUCAAAAGCAGGAUCAGAAAAAGACAAAUCCAAGUCAAGAGCCAGGAGAACCAGGGAGCAGUAAAUGUGAGGCUUGCCAAAACAGACUGAGGCUGUUGUUAAGGCAGACCAGCAGCCUGAGCCUACAGGUGUGCAUAAAAGGACUGAGUCUCUUUCUCUGAACUGGAGUAAUGGCAUUAGCCUGGGAUCAAGGUCAGGUGUGGAAGCUCAAGAGCUUGGCCCAGCUUGGCCUAACUGAUCAGAGGCCCUGACAGCCAGUCCUGUGCUCUAGCCACACUGCUGAGGGGUGGGCUCAGCUGGGGACAAUGACAGCAGCAGCAUCAAUAAGAAAGGGUAGUUUCCCCUUCCUGCAUCUGCUUCCACAGGGACUGGGUAGGGUUGUGGAACCCUCCCUACAACCCUUUCCACUACUACCACUGCCUGUGUCCCAGCUGAUCUAGUCACCUCCUAGCUCAACUGGAAUGGGAAAGAAGAACUUUAAAGCUUUCCCUGCCUUAGGACAGCUAGGAAAGCAGUGGCAACAGGCAGGGGAAUGGAGGAAGGGGAGGAAAAGGGAUGUGCCACUGAGCAGGAAGGGGAAGGGAAGGUUCUUACCUGCUUUAGGGACUUAACAAAGUCUCCAGUGGCUUCAGGUUUGGUCUGCCCACAUCCAGGAUGGGAAGGGAGGAGAUUAGGAGUAGCAGUGCAGCCUCCCCUGCAGUGUGGGUAGCUGUUCCGACAUCCCCCUUCACCAAAUCCUGGAUCCGCUCCUUAGCAAGCUGUGUGCGCGCCAUGUGGCAGAUGGGGCAGGAAGCACAGAAUUACAAAGGGAAGGAAUCAGAAAUCAGAGCAGCAGAGCGGUCAGGGGCCACAGGGAAAGGAGCAGAAAGCAUAGCAGCAAAUAAGGCAGGGACCAGAGAUCAGAGAACAAAGUGAUGUAUCAGGCAGGGUAUUGGAUUAGCACUUGAGGAUGCUAAUGUGUGGCACACUUACCAUAAAGGUUUACCCCCAUUGGUAUAAACUGACCUGUUGCUGACGUAGUCUAAGGAAAGGGACAGGAUGAGCAUUGGCCCAGAUUGGAACAAGAACAGGAUGUGGAAUGUUAAAGAGAAAUGCUUAUGGAUAGGGAUCUAGUCUAUACUAUACCGUGUAGACAUACUUUUAUUUACAUAUUUCUACAACAUUCUGGCCAGCCUAAAUGCUAACAUUAGGCUAUGUCUACAUAGAAAACUAGACAAGGUCCAGAGUGCUGUCCUUAGGCACAUACUGCUCUGAAGGGCUGCUUCUUAAAUAAGAAUCAGUGUAGAUGUGUUAAUAUGGUACAACAGGGGUUUGAAAAAAUAUGGCCCUUGGGCCAGAUCUGGCCUGCCAAGAGAUUUUCUCUGGACCAUGAUGGGUCCCUUGGUAAGGGGACAGCCUGAGCUGUGGUGCAGUCCUGCUGCCCCCGGCCACACAGUAGGGUUGGAGUGGUGUGGCAGCUAGACUCAUUUUCCAGCAGCCCUGAAGGUGAUGGCUCCUUCCAGCUACCACUACCACUGGAUCUGGCCCUGCUGCCCAAGCACCCCAGCCCAUCUACCCUGCAUCCACUACUAGGGGCAGGACCUUUGUGUGCAGGGUGUACAGCCAGGUGGAUGAGAUGGAGCCACAGGCACACAGGAAGCGGUGUCCAGGAGUGGGAUGGAUGGAUUGGGCCAGGAUCAGGGGCCAGGAUUGCAUGGCCAUGACAUCAUGGGCCUUCAGCAUGGAGCAGAGUCCAAAUCCACUGCCUACCCAUCCCUGCAACAGGUAGUGGUUCUGCAGGCUGGGACAUUCAGGGAGUGGAUCAGAAGUCUGGCCCUGAGCUAUCACCAUCCCAAGAUCUCAGACACAGCUCCCUAUCUUUCCAUGGACCCAUUCUGUCCACCUGGCUGCAUGCCCUUCCUAUAUGGGUCCUGGCUGGCCUCCAUGGAAACCCCAAUACCAUGGGGCAGUGAGAUCAUGGGGUCAGAACCCAAGGCAAAGCUGUGAUCCACUCCCUACAUGCUCCUGACCAUGGAACUAGUGUCUGUCACAGGGGAGUGUGGGUAGUGGAUCAUGGCUCUGCCCCAGACCCCAGCUCUACACUGUCACAGCCCUGCAAUCCCAGCCACAUACUCACCUGCCAAUCCUAGUCCCAGUUGCCACUCCUCACCCACCCACAGCCCCAUCCCAGCUGCCCAGCCUCAUAGCAGAGUCAGUUAGGGAAUUUUGUUGAGCUGGGACGGGGUGGGGAGGGAAGAAGAGAGGGUGCUGAAUUGUCCCAUGACAGUUCACUAAAACUUCCUAAGUGGCCCUCCAGCCCAAAUAAUUGCCCACCCCAGACCAGGUUGAUUAGUUAGACCAUUUCUAGCACCCAGAGGCAUAACCAGUGUGGAAAGACUGGGGCAAAAGCCCUAGGUGCCAACUUAGAGGCUGGGGCAGAAGAUAAUGGUACCCAUUGCAGCCACAUGAUCACGCCAAUGACACAGCGGCAAAUAAAAGUCACUAAUGCCCCUGUACAUGGCAGCUGCUGUAAGUGCUGGCCCUGUCAUUAUGCCUUUGCUAGCACCAAACUGAUUCUCUUGCUGGUUUUGGAAAUAGCUCCCUGCAGCAGGACACCAUGCUUGAUGACAACAUUUGGGAACAUGGUAAGUUAAGCAUGUGACAUGGGUCAUGGCCCUGAUCAUGGAAUGGUUUGCACUAAUGCUGAACCCUAUGAAUCCUGCAAAUUUCAUUAGUUUCAUUGAGAUGUUGCAUAGAUAAGAAACACGGAAAAUUUGGAGAGUCCAUAGUAAAUGUGUUUGGCAACCUCAGCAAAUAUAUCAGGCACUCUAUUUCUAUUAAUUAAAAAACCCUAUUCUUCUCCUGCAGCAUCAUGAGAAAACUUAUAAUGCUCUUACUUAACUUAAUGUACCCUGGGACAAUAUUCCUAACAAUAUCUUUACUACAUAUUUAAUAGACAGUAUAGAAAGUCAAUAAGAUUGUUCCAACAGGAGAUUUUAUAAUAAAUAAGGAGGCUAUGUUAAUGCUGCCUAUGUCAGUUGAAAUGACAGAGUGAUUCUGUGGAGCAGUGGGAAACUGGCUGUACCUCUUAAAUAUUCAUUUUUAUAUUUAACUAUUAUGUUCAUGUAUACAGUUUUGGACCUGUAGAUCUUAAAGCCCUUUCAAUGUAAACAUCAUUAUGCACAUUGUAUAGAUGGAGAAACUGCAAAGUGAAGUGGUUUGCUCAAAUCAGCCAACAGCGAAGUUGGGUAUAGAAUGGAAGUCUCCUGAGUCUCACUCUGGUAGUCUAUCCUCUAGGCCAUAUUGCUGUCCAUUCCCUAAAACUUUCAUUAAUUUUCUGUAGUUUUAGGACAGGAAUUGAGUUAAACUCAACCAAAAUUCAUUUUCUGCCACAGUUGUUUUGAAUGGUAUUAUUGGUUUCUGAUUAUUAGAAAAAAAAUGUUCAUUGUCCAAAAUAUGAUGAAGGAUGGAAUGUUAUAGAGAUCUGAAAGUUCAACUUACUCAGAAAAAGAAUUUAAAACAAUAAGGAGAGAGAAAAAGAGAGAGAGAGAGAGAGAAGGUAAUUGGUAUUUUUAGAACUUGUUCUUCCAAGACCUGGACCAUUAUACUCUGAAGUACAUGGGCUGGGUUUUAGAUCAGGCUUUUAUUCAAACAUUGGCAGACUUCUUAAAGGUUACUGUGUUCAGACUGUAUGUUUAUAGCAUAUGUGGGAUCCAUGGAAUCUUCGUAGACAUAGAGCUGGAUAGACCUGAAUAGGAUGAAUAGUUGCAAUACAGACAUUGGACUACUUCCACAGCUUUUAGAAAUUUGUGAACCUCUCAUGAUUUCAAUAACACUUUGAGGUUUUAUAUCAAGUGAAAAUGUGGCACUUAUUUUUAGACUAAUAAAUUGUAUUGCUAUAUAGCUUGAUGUGUCAGUCACUUUUCUACUAAAUAAAAAUAUUUACAGUAGCAUUCACAGUAAAGCAUUCCUAUUCAGGUUUUUUUUUUUGUUUUUU